rnacentral:tRNA from 1 species
UGCCGAAACCCGGGAUCGUACCAGGAACUUUUAGAUCUUCAGUCUAACGCUCUCCCAACUGAGCUAUUUCGGC